AUGGUUCUUCUAGACAGAAGUCAUAUGUUUGUCUCAAAGACUAUGCCAUGCAUGUGUAAGUAUGAACUAAUUCAGAGUGUGAAACUACGAAUGACUCAUUAAAUCAAUUAUAGUUUAUUUAAUGGUAUCUACUACUUAAAUAAUCAUAGUAAUUCUAGAGCUAAUACGUGCAACAAAUCCUAACUUCUGAAAAUGAUGCAUUUAUUACAUAAAAGAUCGACACAAGCUCUGCCUACUACUUUGGUUAUUCAUGAUAACUUGUUGAAUUGCACGACUCUUGUGUUGACAAUGCACCAUUCGAAUUUCCGCCUUAUCAACUUUUGAUGGUAGGAUAAUGGCCUACCAUGGUGAUGAAAUGUGACAAAGAAUUAGGGUUUGGUUCAAGACUUGGAGCUUGAGAAAUGGCUACCAUGGAAGGCAAUAGACGCACAAAUUACCCAAUCCUAACACGUAGAGGUAGUGACAAUAAAUAAUAUUAUCUAGCUCAUUGAAAGUUUAAGGCUCAAAGAUGAUUAGAUAUCAUCCUAGUCUCAACCAUAAAAAAAUACCAACAAUGGAUUAGUGGAUGUUGCUUUUAUGACUUUACUGGUACCUUAUAAAAAAAUCAAAGUCUUUGGGUU
rnacentral:ncRNA from 1 species